rnacentral:rRNA from 1 species
GGUUGGGGGGCCUAACCUAGAGAAGGUGGUUCCCUUCGGGGACGCAGAGACAGGUGGUGCAUGGCUGUCGUCAGCUCGUGUCGUGAGAUGUUGGGUUAAGUCCCGCAACGAGCGCAACCCUUGUCUUUAGUUGCCAUCAUUAAGUUGGGCACUCUAAAGAGACUGCCGGUGACAAACCGGAGGAAGGUGGGGAUGACGUCAAGUCAUCAUGCCCCUUAUGACCUGGGCUACACACGUGCUACAAUGGGCAGUACAACGAGAAGCGAACCCGCGAGGGUAAGCGGAUCUCUUAAAGCUGUUCUCAGUUCGGACUGCAGGCUGCAACUCGCCUGCACGAAGCUGGAAUCGCUAGUAAUCGCGGAUCAGCACGCCGCGGUGAAUACGUUCCCGGGUCUUGUACACACCGA